AAAUGUAAUUGCGAAAUUACCAAAUUUUCGGUUCAGGUAAAACCAGACACCAGCCACCAGCAAACAAUUUGUUAUAAGGCUUUGUCAAAUCUGACGUACAGCCGAAUACAAGAAAUGUUUUUUUUUUCGUUUUAUCAAUCUCACAACCAUACAUUCAAAAUAAUUCCCGAUUGCUCCUUGUCUUCAUCCAAAUACUUCAUAGGAAACUGGUUACUAAAGGAAAAAGCUUACUAAGCUGGCUGCUGCAUGCAUGAUUCUCAUGAUUUUUAUAAAUUUUUUUUAGCUCUGGCUGGUAUUUAGAAUAAAGUAAAAAAAUGUUUAUAUAAGAUUAUAAUAAAGAAUGUAAAAAAAAUUUAAAA